rnacentral:rRNA from 1 species
UUGAACGCUGGCGGCAGGCCUAACACAUGCAAGUCGAGCGGUAACACAGAGAGCUUGCUCUCGGGUGACGAGCGGCGGACGGGUGAGUAAUGUCUGGGAAACUGCCUGAUGGAGGGGGAUAACUACUGGAAACGGUAGCUAAUACCGCAUAACGUCGCAAGACCAAAGUGGGGGACCUUCGGGCCUCAUGCCAUCAGAUGUGCCCAGAUGGGAUUAGCUAGUAGGUGGGGUAACGGCUCACCUAGGCGACGAUCCCUAGCUGGUCUGAGAGGAUGACCAGCCACACUGGAACUGAGACACGGUCCAGACUCCUACGGGAGGCAGCAGUGGGGAAUAUUGCACAAUGGGCGCAAGCCUGAUGCAGCCAUGCCGCGUGUGUGAAGAAGGCCUUCGGGUUGUAAAGCACUUUCAGCGGGGAGGAAGGCGGUGAGGUUAAUAACCUCAUCGAUUGACGUUACCCGCAGAAGAAGCACCGGCUAACUCCGUGCCAGCAGCCGCGGUAAUACGGAGGGUGCAAGCGUUAAUCGGAAUUACUGGGCGUAAAGCGCACGCAGGCGGUCUGUCAAGUCGGAUGUGAAAUCCCCGGGCUCAACCUGGGAACUGCAUUCGAAACUGGCAGGCUAGAGUCUUGUAGAGGGGGGUAGAAUUCCAGGUGUAGCGGUGAAAUGCGUAGAGAUCUGGAGGAAUACCGGUGGCGAAGGCGGCCCCCUGGACAAAGACUGACGCUCAGGUGCGAAAGCGUGGGGAGCAAACAGGAUUAGAUACCCUGGUAGUCCACGCCGUAAACGAUGUCGAUUUGGAGGUUGUGCCCUUGAGGCGUGGCUUCCGGAGCUAACGCGUUAAAUCGACCGCCUGGGGAGUACGGCCGCAAGGUUAAAACUCAAAUGAAUUGACGGGGGCCCGCACAAGCGGUGGAGCAUGUGGUUUAAUUCGAUGCAACGCGAAGAACCUUACCUGGUCUUGACAUCCACAGAACUUUCCAGAGAUGGAUUGGUGCCUUCGGGAACUGUGAGACAGGUGCUGCAUGGCUGUCGUCAGCUCGUGUUGUGAAAUGUUGGGUUAAGUCCCGCAACGAGCGCAACCCUUAUCCUUUGUUGCCAGCGGUUAGGCCGGGAACUCAAAGGAGACUGCCAGUGAUAAACUGGAGGAAGGUGGGGAUGACGUCAAGUCAUCAUGGCCCUUACGACCAGGGCUACACACGUGCUACAAUGGCAUAUACAAAGAGAAGCGACCUCGCGAGAGCAAGCGGACCUCAUAAAGUAUGUCGUAGUCCGGAUUGGAGUCUGCAACUCGACUCCAUGAAGUCGGAAUCGCUAGUAAUCGUAGAUCAGAAUGCUACGGUGAAUACGUUCCCGGGCCUUGUACACACCGCCCGUCACACCAUGGGAGUGGGUUGCAAAAGAAGUAGGUAGCUUAACCUUCGGGAGGGCGCUUACCACUUUGUGAUUCAUGACUGGGGUG